GGGUCAGUAGGUUGGUCGUGCCACCGGUACGUACUGGUCUCACUGAUUCCUCCUUCCUGAAGAACCGUAAUGCCAUUAAUUUGGUGUUGCGGGGAAACAGGACGGUUACUUUGAAAAAAUUAGAGUGUUUAAAGCAAGCUAACGCUUGAAUACAUUAGCAUGGAAUAAUGAAAUAGGACGAUCGAUCCUAUUUUGUUGGUUUCUAGGAUUGACGUA
rnacentral:rRNA from 1 species